rnacentral:rRNA from 1 species
UACGUAGGGGGCAAGCGUUGUCCGGAAUCAUUGGGCGUAAAGCGCGCGUAGGCGGCCCUGUAAGUCCGUUGUAAAAGUCAAAGGCUCAACCUUUGAAAGCCGAUGGAUACUGCAGGGCUAGAGUCCGGAAGAGGCGAGUGGAAUUCUACGUGUAGCGGUGAAAUGCGUAGAGAUGUGGAGGAACACCUGUGGCGAAGGCGGCAUCCUGGACCGGCAUUGACGCUGAUGAGCGAAAGCUAGGGGAGCAAACGGG